UCCGACCUCAAAUCGGACGAGAUUACCCGCUGAAUUUAAGCAUAUCA
rnacentral:rRNA from 1 species